rnacentral:rRNA from 1 species
CAGAGGGUGCAAACGUUGUUCGGAAUUACUGGGCAUAAAGCGCACGUAGGUGGUCCGCUAAGUCGCGUGUGAAAUCCCCCGGCUCAACCGGGGGAAAUGCGCGUGAUACUGGCAGGCUUGAGAUCGGGAGGGGUGAAUGGAACUCCAGGUGGAGCGGUGAAAUGCGUAGAUAUCUGGAGGAACACCGGUGGCGAAAGCGGUUCACUGGCCCGACACUGACACUGAGGUGCGAAAGCUAGGGUAGCAAACGGGAUUAGAUACCCCGGUAGUCCUAGCCGUAAACGAUGGGUACUGGGCAGGGGGAAUAUCUAUGUUCUCUCUGCCGGAGCUAAUGUGUUAAGUACCCCGCCUGGGGAGUACGCUCGCAAGGGUA